rnacentral:lncRNA from 1 species
CAGGUUUUGACUUCUCAUAAGCCACACCAAACAGGCCGUCAGUAAUAAGAGCUAAAAGCUAAAGAACAAAAAUAGGAGCCGAUGUGGAAAAAGGAAAGAGAACUGGAUAAAAGACCACCAAUUCAUGUAAACGCACAAUAGAAAUUGUUCCCCAAUUAGAAAUCUCUCCCAUAAUAAUUCAAACAUUCAUUCUCCAAUCUAAAUAAACAAAACAACCUACACUUAACGCAUAAAAAUCUGCAGGCUGCGGCCAUGUAUUACCAUUAAAGAAUUCACCGGCGGUGGUAUUUGUAGAGAUCCUUAGUAAUGAUUCAUCGGUAGCGGGAACCAAAUGUCCUUGAAUUGCUUUAAUCCGUCGCUCAGCCCUUGAUUCCAUUCAGAUUUUUCUUCUUUUUCUAAUCUGUUUCUGAAUUCAACAGAGUAAUCGAAUUUCUACUUGCAUUACAAUUUACAGAUGCAGAGAAGAAGCAAACAUGUAUUGAAAAUAACAUAAAUAUAUAAGAAAAAAUAUCAUCCAAUGAAACCAAAAAGAGAAAUGGAUUUUGGCACACCUUACAACGUCGUGACGAUAAUAUAGUCAGAGAUGGCCGAGAAUUGGAGGAGGAUGAGGAUGGUAUUUCUAAACUUUUCUUCAACUUUUUAACAAGUGUGACUUUGGGGUCCUCAAC